rnacentral:rRNA from 1 species
CAGUCGCCGCGGUAAUACAGAGGGUGCGAGCGUUAAUCGGAUUUACUGGGCGUAAAGCGUGCGUAGGCGGCUUCUUAAGUCGGAUGUGAAAUCCCUGAGCUUAACUUAGGAAUUGCAUUCGAUACUGGGAAGCUAGAGUAUGGGAGAGGAUGGUAGAAUUCCAGGUGUAGCGGUGAAAUGCGUAGAGAUCUGGAGGAAUACCGAUGGAGAAGGCAGCCAUCUGGCCUAAUACUGACGCUGAGGUACGAAAGCAUGGGGAGCAAACAGGAUUAGAUACCCCUGUAGUCCCUGUCUCUUAUAC